rnacentral:ncRNA from 1 species
UCUAGGAUGGUAUUUAAGGUAGUCAUCAUUUUCAUUAUAGGGUAUGGGCAUUUAAGGUAGUCUAUCCACUAUUGCUGAGAGUCCUAGUUAGGGUCAUCCUAUUGGAUCUCUGUAUAAUUCCCUAGUGUCGGAUUUCUCUUUAAACCUAUAGUGACUAUCUCCAUUGAUAUGUCUCUUUUCUUGCUAUCCUCUACUCCUCUUGGAGAGCUCCUAGCAGCCAACUUCAAUCUGGUGCAGACCAGGGGAACCUGAUUGUUUAAUUAAAACAAAGCAUCAUGAAGUCCCAUGGUGGGUUUUGACGCGAUGUGAUUUCUGCCCAGUGCUCUGAAUGUCAAACUGAAGAAAUUCAAUGAAGCAUGGGUAAAUGGCAGGAUUAACUAUGACUCUCUAAAAGUAGCCAAAUGUCUCGCCAUCUAGGUACUCUUCUUGAAGGCAUUAGAUAUCACUGAUACUUGCACUGUACACAAUAACUCUAAAAGCUACAG